rnacentral:lncRNA from 1 species
AUUAAACAUAAAAAUAUAUUUCAUGCUGAUUUAAUGCAAAUCUAAUAUUUUCAAAUAUUCACAUAUAAUAUAAUCAUAAAUCCGAUUCGAUUCAAAACACUCGUAACUCAACAGCCUCGACUGUGACCAACGUUUAACCCCCAUUGGCGGGGUCCACAGAAUACCAGCGCACAACCCCCACUGGCAGGGUCCAGAAAUACCAGCGCACAACCUCCACUGGCAGGGUCCAUAAAUACCAGUGCACAACCCCCACUGGCAGGGUCCACAAAGUACCAACGUAUAAUCCCCAUUGGCGGGGCCCACUGAAACAUAGUUAGGCUGAGAGUAUAAAUNNNN